UGAACCGAGUACUCCCCGUCCCACGCUCCACUCCCGACACCUGUUCCGUUUAAAAUCCCGGGCGCCGACGUGGCCGCGUGCGCAGCCACAAACCACCGCUCCCCGCCGCAAUUAACAACCCGCCAAUCAGCUCGGCGCGGCCCAAAUGCCCCGCUAAUCCCCCGCUGAGCCGCUCUCUCCUCCCUCCGCCAAAAAGCUAAUCCCCUCGCUUUUCCUAUCUCCACUUGGGGGGUUGGGGUUCUAGACUCGUCGAUUCGGUUUCGAUCCUUCUAGACACUUCGCCGCGCCCGGCUAUAAAAGCCGGCACCUCCCGGGGCCAUCGAUCGGCACAUCAGCACUCGCACGCAGCCCUUUGCUCAUUGGCCGGGGUUGGGUUCGAGACUCGUCGAUUCCAAGCUAUUGGUGUAUUGCAUGCGGUGGCACCAAGCAUGAGGCAGGAACUGCAUUACUUGCAAGGAAGUCACAAAAUCAAUUGGAAGAUCAUACUUGUGGCUUUCUUGCAAGUUGUGCAGUUGUUGCCUCAAGCUUGCUGCCUCCCUUUGCCAGAGCUACAAGUAAAACAAGAAGUAUUCUCAGUUUCUGAGCCGCAAAAAUAAUUUUGGAAAAACAAUCGAGAAAUGUAUUGCAUAAUAUAUGAAUAUGCUGCUAAAAGUUAAUCAAUACUCAUCGAUACUCACUAACUGCACAUGCUUUGCAUUGGGGUUAACAUGCCUGCUUAAUUUACAUGCAAAGAUUUGGAACUAUAAUGCUGCAUAUUUAGUUAUACAGUAGAUAUCUGAGCAUGUAUGCUAUGGUCUCUGUUACUGUAAAUUUAAUAAUCGAUACUGCUCCACUUCAUCCAAUGUUAACUAAGUUCAGGGGUUUGUAGCUGAUCAUUAUGUUGGAACAAUAAGUAGAGUAACAUUGUUGCAUUACAGUCACCCAACCUGAUUUCAAGGUAAACUGAGUUUAGUUUAUCUGUUUUCCUAAAGAAUGUUGUCUCUUGCAUUCUCUCAUGAGCAUUUGUAGUUUGAGUUCUGUGACAUUGUGAUGUUCUCUUCUUAAUAUAAUGCUCUCCUGCUUUUUCUAGGGGAAAAAAACAUUGUGAUGUCUUCUUUUACAUUUAAUGAUAUUCUGAUUCUGUUAGUGAAUAGUAUCAUAGUUCCAACAUCUAUAAAGCUUGAUAUUGCCUAACACAAUGGUGGAGCAGCUAAGUGUAAAAGCAGAUACAUGUCAUAAUCUACAUUACCGUGUAGCCUGUAGGUGAUGAUCUGGUAUUUUCUUGAUUAUUAGAAAGGAAAAGUCAUCAGGAACAGACUGGCACGGAAUGAUGCUUUGCAGGUGGUCUAUUAGCACCGUAUAUACCUAAUACAGCUCUUCCAGCUGACAUGAAUCAUGAUACCAGUCUUACACAAGUGUCAGUUACAUCGACUAAUUGUUCUGGUUGUUCCAGCAUUUGAUAUUUUGAUGUUCUUUAUCUUGUGCAAAUGACAUAGUUUCAGUUAAUUUCUUAACAGAUGUAUUUUAAAGUGUGCCAUCUCCUUUUGCGCCAGUUUCCGUAGCAGGGAUGGUCUGAACUAUCACUAUGCCCAGCUCUAAAGCAUGAAUGGAAGUUCAGAUUGUUAGCAUAUUCAGUAAUCAGUGUGCCCACUUCUAAACUAUUGGGAUGAACCUUGGGGGUGUGUUGGCUUUGACCUCGUUUUCGGACAUAGAAGAUGUUGCUCUGAGAUGUGUGGCUUCGACAGCUGACUGCUGUAAAAAGUUCUAUAUUGUUGCGGGUGAUGUCCAUUUUUUUUUCAUUCAUGUAUUUUCUUCUCUCUCAUUUUGUGCGCGUUUGUUGUAAGACCGAACCCAUGCUACUUACAGUACACUUGCAGAUAAGCUGUCCUGUUUUCUUUUUUUUCUUUGUGUGUGUGUGUGUGUGGACCAGCAGGUGUCUGGCAACAUCCUAUGUUGGACAAGCUGGGGUAUACCAGUCCAUUCUGACUAUAUUGAAAAUGAUAAUCCUGGUUUCUGUAUGCGCAAA